rnacentral:tRNA from 1 species
GCCUGGGUAGCUCAGUCGGUUAAGCGUCUGACUUCGGCUCAGGUCACAGUCUCACGGUUCAUGGGUUCAAGCCCCAUGUCCAGCU